GCCAUCUCUUGCUUUAGAUGGGUAACUUAUUUUUGCAAGCGAGUCAAGAUUCCUUCUCCAAGCAUUGAGGAUCGUCGAGCUCUGAUACCCUUGAUACAGUGGCAACCUUGAUAGAUUAAGAGAGUAGGAAAAAAAGAGAAAAAAGAGGUUUAAGAAGAUAAAACAACAAAAAAUUCAUUCCAUAACAGAGGGCCUAAUUGUAACACCCAC
rnacentral:lncRNA from 1 species